GAGAAGCUGAGCACCCAUGCUGGAACUCACCAUAUAGAUGCCUCACUGCUUUUCAUUUCGAAGUUUCUCCUCCAUGUCUUUUUCCUCUUGCCAGUGUUUAGGUAAAAUUAUUUCUGUUUGAUACAUUUUUCUUCACUCUUGUCCUUAAUGUGUCAAGUCUUAUGUGGCUUCAUAGCCCUGACAGACAGUAGUAUUGCUAUUUUGGAGUCAAGGUCUCGUUCUGUCGGCCAAGCUGGAGUGCAAUGGCACCAUCAGGGCUCACUGCAGCCUUGACCUCCGAGGCUCAAGGAAUCCUCCCACCUCAGCCUCAGCCUCCCGGAUAGUUGAUACUACAGAUGAUCCAGCUCUGUCGGAGGCACGUAGGCACAGCCAAAUCUCAUGCUGUACAUUGAUCACCUGUCCAACCUUUGCCUAGAGUGGGAGCCCCCAGUUCCUUCGAGAUCCAACAUUACCUGUCUGUAAAGAAGAAGAGGAGGAGGGAGACAGCGGGGAGGAUCCGGUGGCAGUUUAACACCAGAGCAGGUCCAAUGUUUACUUUUACCCUUUUGGAGCUAUCAGAAGGGCUGAAUAAAGGGAACAUGCAGCUCUGCAGCAAUAUUCUGAUAAUCUAUUGCAGUGCGGCUCACAUCACUGUCCACCACCACCUGGAGCGGCUCAUCAGAACUGAAGGGGAGUUUUCACUUACAUUAUUGAGCGUGAUUCUGUUCUACUUGAUAUUUCCUUCAUCACCUCAUGUCAUUUCUCAUGGAUUUGGAUAUGAUGGAAAGGAAGAAUGCAGAGGAGGAGAAAAGUGACAGAUCCUCCAUUUUUGUCAGGAUGCAGGCAUUUUGAAUGUAAUCAUCUUUGCUGAAUGUCAUUUUUUGAUAACAUUUUGUUUAUGUUACUUAAACAUCAUUGGAUAAAUUUGAACUCCAUGGGAUUUUAUCUGUGGAUUCAGCUUCUGUUGGACAACUAGCCUCAUCUCCAGUAUCCUGCUGGUUCAGUCUAAUUGGUCAUUCCUAAUGCAUUAGAUUAUCAAAAAGUAUAAAUUCGCUGUGAGUGAGUGGUGUUGGCAGUGUUUGUAUACCGUGAUGCAUGGAGUGUUUGACGAAGAAACAAAAAACACCAAAAAUUGCGAGCCUUUACCCUCCUCUAUUUCUUUAAUCUGUUGUUUGAAGAACCGCAUUUUGAGGGUGUAACCAGUAGUUACCUCUGGGCCAGGUUGGAAAUGAAAUCAAUUUUUUAAACCACUAAUACUUGCCAAGAAAUCGCCUUAUGAGAACAUGGUGUGUGUCUCUGACAAUGCGUGGCACAUCUAAAUUGAUCAUUCAUAAUUUUAUCUACCCGGUCAUGUACUGGAGAGUGGCAAAAGCCUGAGGCACCUGCAUAUCUCUAGUCCCUGUGUUCCGCACAUCCCCACGGCGGGGAUGCCACCAAGCCUCAGACUCUUACCAUCCUGGUACAUGCAGAUCUCCAUGAAGAAGCUGGGACUCAUUCACAUUUCAAGAUCCAAAUGCUGUGCAAACAGUGUAAGCUUAGAUUUUCUGUAAAUGAAGGGUCAUUUCUCUCUCUUUUUUUUUUUUUUUAAAGAAAAUGUGUCUGCAACAUGAAUUCCAAAGCAUUUUCAGCAUCAAACAUGAAAACAUUGAUGAAUGAGGAAAAAUCACAAAAGCUGUGUCUCUGUAUAUAGCUCUACACAACAUGUAUGUGGAUACAGUUAUUAUUUAAAGCACAUGCCAGGGAAAAAGACCAAAUUUUGAGGUCUUUUACAUACAGUGAUAUGGUACUAAGGAGAAUUAAACUCCUACUGCUUCCUCUGAAUAUUAAGAAACAAUUAAAAUUGUUAUAACUUCAUAAAACUCAUGACUGAGUCUGGCAAACAUGUGCAACUCUUGUAUUGCUCCAUUUUCUUGUCAAUGGAAGAAACCCUUCCACGUGUAUGCAAGUGGGAGAUGAAAACCUGCAUUUUUAAAGGACAAACAGUGAAUUUAAGCAUGAGUGGCCUUAAUAAAUAUAGUUGUCUUUCUUUGCUGCUGUGGAAAGGAUUCUAAACAGAUGUCCCUGAAGUCUUGCAUUGAAUUUAGGCAUUAUUAUUACCUUUUUAAAUGUUGGUGCAAUUAACUCUGGACCUCUCUUGUGAGCCAUAGAGAUAUUUAAAAGACAAACACCUUAUUUGUCGGGGAAGAUGAAGCCGUCCCUGAGUUGCACCAUUCUUUCUUGGUGCAUUCACGGUUAAGAUACUCAAGCAGGUUUCUUGCUUCUGGCUUUGUUCUUGUCAUCAGUAAGUAUAACAAACUAUGUAAUGCUUACGUGUUGCAUAAACAAUCCAAAUGCAUUCAUGUUUUAAAAGUUUGUCCUUUAACUAUCAGAGGGAUCUAGGUCUUGGUUAGAGAAGUAAGCAGAGUUCUUUGCAAGCUUAUUUAGCACAUUUUGACACAAUGUUGCACUGAAAACCCAGGCCACAAAUGUGUCCCAGUGAACAGUUUGGAUGUCCUCAAAGAAGUGGUUCUCACUGCCUCCUACAACCAGGUCUUGACCUGAACUCUGCAACUGAAUACUUGAAGUAGGAAGUAGGAAAUCCAGUAGGGAAAAUAGGGUCCUUGAAACAGAAAAAAACAA
rnacentral:sRNA from 1 species